rnacentral:rRNA from 1 species
GACGAACGCUGGCGGCGUGCCUAAUACAUGCAAGUCGAACGAACCGCGACUGAGUGCUUGCACUUGGUCAAGGUGAGUGGCGAACGGGUGAGUAACACGUGGGUAACCUACCUCAUAGUGGGGGAUAACAGUCGGAAACGACUGCUAAUACCGCAUAGGACAUGGAAUCACAUGAUUCUGUGAGGAAAGGUGGCGCAAGCUAUCGCUAAGAGAUGGACUCGCGGUGCAUUAGCUAGUUGGUAGGGUAAGGGCCUACCAAGGCGAUGAUGCAUAGCCGACCUGAGAGGGUGAUCAGCCACAUUGGGACUGAGACACGGCCCAAACUCCUACGGGAGGCAGCAGUGGGGAAUCUUCCGCAAUGGACGCAAGUCUGACGGAGCAACGCCGCGUGAGUGAAGAAGGUCUUCGGAUCGUAAAGCUCUGUUGUUAGGGAAGAACAGCGCAUAGAGUAACUGUUAUGCGUAUGACGGUAUCUAACCAGAAAGCCACGGCUAACUACGUG